UACGUAGGGUGCAAGCGUUGUCCGGAAUUAUUGGGCGUAAAGAGCUCGUAGGCGGUUUGUCGCGUCGGCUGUGAAAACUCGAGGCUCAACCUCGGGCUUGCAGUGGGUACGGGCAGACUAGAGUGCGGUAGGGGAGACUGGAAUUCCUGGUGUAGCGGUGGAAUGCGCAGAUAUCAGGAGGAACACCGAUGGCGAAGGCAGGUCUCUGGGCCGCAACUGACGCUGAGGAGCGAAAGCAUGGGGAGCGAACAGG
rnacentral:rRNA from 1 species